CCUUCGUCCCUUCUGGAUUUGCCUCCGUGUUGGUGCUUUCCCACUCGUUUUCUUUUUAGAAAAUAGUGACCACGUUGAUGGCAGAGGUAGCGAGGCGAUGGGAAUGAGCUGGGUGCCGCUUCGCGUGCACGCACCCUGAGCAGGCCUGGUCUUUAGGAUCCGAAAAGGAGAAGAGGUCGAGCAAUGCCCACAAGGCUUGAGGGCCGGGCAGUGAAGGAAUAGAACCGAAAACGGCCCGCGCGGGGAGCAGGCAGCGCGCCCAUCUUCGAUCUGUGACGCUGGCAGCUCGGAUGUGCCAGAGAGAAGCCUUAAAGGGCUUCGUUUAGACCAGACUCUCCUGCGGUGACACGGAUGCAGAAUGAACGUCUCUUUCACAGAAAGCCUGUCCCACCCGACGGCCCGCCGUCUGCCUCUCACGUUCCUCUUGCGGAAGAGAAGCAACCGUUGUUCUUCGUACAAGGGCCCCUCGCACUCCUCCCAACACCCUUGUUUAUACAGACGGACAGUCAAAACCGAUCAUCACUGUCUCAUACGUUCCCCGUCCUCGCCACGCCUGUCUGCUGUUUCUUCCUUCCAGGAUGGACGCUGGAUGAGGCCAGGUCUGUCCUGUCACUGCCCCCGUGAUGAUAUCGAGCUAUUGCCACGCCUUCUGGAACUCGCUUUUCUCCACAUCACCCUUUCGAGAUCUAGCGACCCCUGUGAUGAAGAUGAACUUUAUCCCUUUUCAAUGCUGGGCCCCUGGCGUGGCCCAGUGGUUGAGCGCCGACCUAUGAACCAGGAGGUCAG